ACCUAGCUGACGAGUCAUAACUAGGACGAAACGCAAGUCCUGGAU
rfam:Schistosoma haematobium scaffold697_15, whole genome shotgun sequence.